AAAUGAGAAAAGAAGAAAGAGGAGGGGGACAAAGGGAGAAAGGGACCACAUGGGAGAAUCGGGGAGCUUUGCAUGAAGAUCCGCUGAUCCUGUCACAUAGAGAACAAGAACAUACACUCUAUCUGGCUGUACCAACUUAGGUCUCCUAAGAAUCAAGUGUUC